rnacentral:rRNA from 1 species
AAUGAACGCUGGCGGCGUGCUUAACACAUGCAAGUCGAACGGUGAACACGGAGCUUGCUCUGUGGGAUCAGUGGCGAACGGGUGAGUAACACGUGAGCAACCUGCCCCUGACUCUGGGAUAAGCGCUGGAAACAGCGUCUAAUACUGGAUACGAGUAGCGGCCGCAUGGUCAGUUACUGGAAAGAUUUUUUGGUUGGGGAUGGGCUCGCGGCCUAUCAGCUUGUUGGUGAGGUAAUGGCUCACCAAGGCGUCGACGGGUAGCCGGCCUGAGAGGGUGACCGGCCACACUGGGACUGAGACACGGCCCAGACUCCUACGGGAGGCAGCAGUGGGGAAUAUUGCACAAUGGGCGAAAGCCUGAUGCAGCAACGCCGCGUGAGGGAUGACGGCCUUCGGGUUGUAAACCUCUUUUAGCAGGGAAGAAGCGAAAGUGACGGUACCUGCAGAAAAAGCGUCGGCUAACUACGUGCCAGCCGCCGCCGUAA